CUUAAGCUCUUGGGCGGGUGGCGAUUAAGCUCUUGGGUCAGGUCGCUUUCAGCUAUAUGUUCGCAAUCAUAUGUUGUAAUUGACUCCCUGUUCUUUUCCUUGUUGUCCUUGUCGUUGUCUGUUUUCACAGGCGUAGCUCCGCGAUACGUCUGGAUCCUGAGCCAUUCGUAUGUGUAUUGGGCAACUAGGCGGGCCGAAGCCGGAUUAUAUGGGCGUAAUCUGGGAUUUCCAUGUGAGUUAGUGCGGAUACGUUAGAGAGGUUUGAGGGGUUUGUCUUGGGAACAUUUGUAUUCAAAGUGCGCUCAGCUUAGUUGUUGCAUUUUGGGGCCGGUUACAUUAGUGCUCUAUGCAGGUGGGAACAACAUUG